UGGCUCAGAACGAACGCUGGCGGCAUGCCUAACACAUGCAAGUCGAACGAAGCCUUCGGGCUUAGUGGCGCACGGGUGCGUAACACGUGGGAAUCUGCCCUUCGGUUCGGAAUAACAGUUAGAAAUGACUGCUAAUACCGGAUGAUGACGUAAGUCCAAAGAUUUAUCGCCGAAGGAUGAGCCCGCGUAGGACUAGGUAGUUGGUAGGGUAAUGGCCUACCAAGCCGACGAUCCUUAGCUGGUCUGAGAGGAUGAUCAGCCACACUGGGACUGAGACACGGCCCAGACUCCUACGGGAGGCAGCAGUGGGGAAUAUUGGACAAUGGGCGAAAGCCUGAUCCAGCAAUGCCGCGUGAGUGAUGAAGGCCUUAGGGUUGUAAAGCUCUUUUACCAGGGAUGAUAAUGACAGUACCUGGAGAAUAAGCUCCGGCUAACUCCGUG
rnacentral:rRNA from 1 species